ACAUUUGAAAAUAAGCCUACACAGUAUUUAUCAGUAAAAGAACUAGUCAUGAGCAUCGGAAUAUGUUCAGCACGUACCAGGCUGGGGUGGGAGACUCUGUAGUGUGCUUUCUGUAGCAGCUUCCUCAGAGCGGACACUGCAGACAAGGAAGGGACCAGGGAUCACGGCUCACUCGGUUCUAUAAUUCCAGCCCCAGCAUAGGGUCUGACUUGUGUCCCAUGAUUAAAUGAAUCCUUGCCAAGAUCUCUUAUUCCCUCAGGUUGUUGAGAAACCUUCUAAUUGUUCCUGAUACCUCUUCCCACUCUUCAUCAGCUAGUUAGCAAGAAGGCAAAUGAGAUGAAACAUUUCUAAGACUCUAAGCAGAAGAGGAAUGGAGGAUACACACCAGGGGUGCCAGGAGGCAGCUCUUUGCUCUCUACUUGCCUGAUGGGAGGAGGGCAGGGCAUUAUAUAUUUAGCAGCUUGCAUCAUUUGAUGCUCAGUGCAAGGAGGUGCCCUCAGGGUACCAUUAAAGAUGCUUAAAAGUUUUUGGAGUAGGCUGCCUGGGCUGACCUUACAUCUCCGAAGCUGGCGUAGUUGGUUUGCACUGGAGUUCAUUGUCUUUUUGUCUCCUCAGUGUCUUACUGAGAGACUCCUCUGAGCUUUACCUACUUAAGUCAGUAAGCAUCCUACCAAAUUCCCUCAAUUUCAGUCAAGUAAGACAAGCUGCAGGGGUACCAGACGUAAGUGGGGGAGGGGGAAACUUGGUCUAUGUUUAGAAGAAAUAAAACCUAUACUUUUUAAAGGAAAAAGUUGUAAGAAUUCCUUGGCACAUUGAAUUAUUUAUAGCUUUUGAGAUGUAAAGUAGACUCCUGUGAACCCACAAGAGAAGCAGUAGUUAUUCGCCGGUGCAAUAAAAAUGUCUCUGUGUGUCACUCGCAAUCACAAGUCAUUUCUGUGCGAGUUGCGUUCAUUCCAGAAAAUGGCAUCAUCCUCCGCAGAAGAAGAGGGUGAUUUUUAAAGUGGGAUUUGGUAACAGAUGAUGUGGUGUGGGCUGGGGAGGGGUGAUGGGGAUUUGAUUUGUCCAGCCUCUUGACCGCUUCCUUCAGUACCUCGAUUUAAGAACAAAGAUCGGAGGAGGAGGGGACUAGACAGCAGUAGAGUAUGUAGAACAGCGAAAAGCCAUCACUGAGUAUUCAGAUUUUGAGCUGUGUAAAUAUCAAAUGUCAGCUUCCAGCCUUGUGAGUUGUUUGAGCAGAGAGUUAAGGAGGAAAGGGAGAUGAUUUUGUGAAUAAAAUAUUUUGCCAAACAAAUUGAGGGAGUCUUUUUGAUGUGAUUUCUUAUAACGAGCAGUUUUCUGUCUUCAGAAACAACUCAUCAGACACCUGGUUUUUAUCUUGAAUUGCACAAGCAUUGUUUCUUAAUAAAAGUGAUAAAUUUCUUCCAGGUGUUUCCAAUCACCAUUACCUUUCAAGGGCUUGUGUGCAGUUUCAAAAGCUCUCCAAUUUUUGCCUUCUAUAGUGGUGGAACAUUUUACUACAAACAAUUGUAAGCAACCUGUCUUCUAAUGCCUGGCACCUGGAUCAAUCAUAAACCACUUCUCAGGCCACAGAUGGCAGUCACUUGUGUUUCCUAACCUUGAAGAAGUGGCCUUUUGUAGAAGACGUCCUAUGAGUCCCAGCAGUACACUCCUCUUUGGUCACCAGUGCUAUGUGCUCUGUGAGUGUGCCCUGGUGAGCUCCACUUGCUUCCUAUAUCUCCAAGAGACUCUCCAAGAUCAUCACCAGCACAAGUGAGAAGAAAACAGAAGACGGUGGAUCAAGAUGGCAAAGUGGCAGGAUGGUGGCACUCACCUCCCACCAAACACAUCAAAAAUACAUGUACACGUGGAACAGAAAAUUAACUGAAAGAAAGUCUCCUAUACAACCAGGGCUGCGAGAACAGUUCUCACAUAAUCAGGUAGGACUAGGAAAAAUAUUGGUGUCUGAAGGCAGUGCAGCUGCUCAAACUCCUGCAAGGAACACACUGCAGUGUCCCCCCAGCAACAGAAUGGAUGUUCCAGACCACCCACUCCACACCACAGCCUUGCUCUGGAAUGACCACAGCAGGGGAAAAGAUGCUACCUUGGACUUCAUCUGAGCAGAGCUGCAGACUCCUACACAGGUAGUAAGUACAUCACACCUCUCUCUAAGCACAUGAGCCUCACGUACUUCUACACUCUUCUCCUUUGGGGCAAAGGCCCCAGUGCAGGGAGAAGGAAGAACACACACUUAAAUGGAACAGACCCAGCAACUUGGGAGCAAACCCCACCCCUGACAGGGUGGCCUCUGGCACUGAGCAGAAAUGGAAGUCCUGCCUCACACCCUACACAGGCUCUAGCUCCUCCAUCACCAGCCACAUCCCUUUAUCAAGUGAUAGUGGCCACAACAGCCCAAGGGAAGAUGUGGCUGGUGUCCACGUCGGAUCUCGUCCUCACACCAAAGACACUGGGCACAUACAGUCCACACAGGGACACUCCCACAUACAAACACCCAAUAGGAAAGGAAAAUAUAAAUAAGCAUUGAAGAUCACUUAAGCCAGUAUGUAGAUUUAAAACCAAACCAAAAAUUUAUAAAAGUGAUUUUAACUAAAAUAAAUAAUAAAGAGAUCAGCAUUGAGAAGUAAAAUAUAUAGAAAACAAUGUGGGGGAGGGGAGUAAAAUGUAGAUCUUUUAGAAUAUGUUUGAAUUUAUCAGUUUAAAGCAAAUAGGUAUAAUUACUGUCAACAUGUAUGAACCCCAUGAUAACCACAAAUCAAAAACCUACAACAGAUACACACAAACUAAAAAGAAGGGAAUGCACGCACACCACCACGCAGUGGAGUUCCCAUGGCGGCUCAGUGGAAACGAAUCUGACUAGUAUCCAUGAGGACACAGGUUUGAUCCCUGGCCUUGCUUAGUGGGGUAAGGCUCUGGUGUUGCCAUGAGCUGUCAUAUAGGUCACAGACUCGGCUCAGAUCUUGCUUGCCUGUGGCACAGGCCAGCAGCUAAGCUCUGAUUUGACCCCUAGCCUGAGAACCUCCGUAUGCCCCAGGUGUGGCCCUAAAAAGAAAAAUUAAACAGAACUACAAAAACAACUGGGAAAUAAGGAAUAGGAUGGCAAAUAGUACAUACCUAUCGAUAACUAAAUGUCAGUGGACUAAAUAUUCUAAUCAAAAGACAUAGAUUUUUUAAAAAGACCCUUCAAUAUGCUGCCUACAAAAGACUCACUUCAGGGCAAAAGAUGCACAUAGACUGAAAGUUUAAGGAAGGAAAAAGAUAUUUCAUGCAAAUGGAAAUGACAGUAAAGCAGGGUAGCAAUAUUCAUAUAAGACAAAAGAGACUUUAAAACAAAGGCCAUAAUGAAAAAUAAGGGCAUUAUAUUAAAGAUAAAGUGAUUGAAACAAGAAGAGGAUAUUACGUUUGUUAACAUAUAUGCACCCAGUACAGGAGCACCUAAAUAUAUAAAGCAACUACUGGCCGACGUACAGGGAGAAACUGACAGUAACGCCCUACAGACAUUAAUGGAGAGAUGAUCCAGAGAGAAAGUAAGGAACAAAAGUCCUAAAUGACACAAUAGACUAGCUGGACUUCAUUUAUGUCUCAGGACACAACAUCAAACUUCUCAACUGUGCAUAGAAUGUUCUCCAGGAUAAAUCACAUACUAGGUCACAAAAGAAGCCUCAACAAUUAUAAGAGGAUAGCAAUUAUAGCAAACAUUUUUCCCAGCCAUAGUGGUAUGAAACUAGAAAACAGCUACAGAAAGAAAAAUGGGAAAAGAACAAACACAUGGUGACCAAACAAUGGACUACAAAAAAAUCAGUGGAUAAAUGAUGAAAUCAGAGGAGGAAAUCAGAAAAUACCUUGAGACAAAUGAAAAUGAAAAGACAGAUUUUCAAAAUCUGUGCAGUGCAACAAAAGCAGUUCUAAGAGGGGAUUUAAUAGUGAUACGGGUCUCCCCUAAGAAACUAGAAAAAAAUCUCAAACAACCUAACCUACCACCUAUAAUUAGAAAAGUAACAAACAAAAUUGAAAGUUAGCAGAAGGAAGGAAAUAAUCAAGAGCAGAGAGGAAAUGUAUAAAAUAACAGUAGAAAAGAUCAAUAAAACCAAUAGAAAAGAUCACUAAAACCAAAUAUAAAUAAAAUUAAUAAACUUUAGGCUCACUGUGGAAAAAAAAAAGACCCUAGUAAAUAUGAGAUAAAAGAAGAGAAAUUACAACUGAUACCCACAGAGAUACGAAGAAAUCAUAAGGGAAUACUAUGCAUAUAUAUAUGCAAACAAAUUGGACAAUCCAAAAGAAAUGUAGAAAUUUCUAGGAAUAGCCUGCCAAGACUAAGUCAAGAAGAAACAAUUUGAAGAGACUAAGUACUAGAAGUGAAAUAGAAUCUGUAAUGAAAAAACUCUCAGCAGACAAUAAAGAAAACACUGGACACAAUUCAGGAUCCAUUCAUGAUAAAAGCUCUUACCAAAAGUGGCUAUAGAGGGAACAUAUCUCAACACAGCAAAGUCCGUUUAUGACAGACCCACAGCCAACAAAAUACUUAACGGUGAGAAGCUAAAAGCCUUCUGCCAAACUGAUGAACCAGAAAAGGAUGCCCAAUCUUGCUGCUUCUAUUUGGCAAAGUAUUGGAAUUCCUAGCCACAGCAUCCCAUGAGAAAAAGACAUAAAAGGAUAUCCAAAUGGGAACUGUCGUUUUAUACAGAUAACAUGAUACUAUGUAGAGAGAACCCUAAAGUCUCCAUAUAAAAACUAUUAGAGCUGAUAAAUGAAUUCAGCAAGGUUGCAGGAUACAAGAUUAACAUACAGUAUCUGUUGCAUUUCUAUACACUAAUAAUGAAAUAUUAGAAAGUUAAAAAAUAAUCCCAUUUAAUUGUAUCCCAAAAGAUACCUAGGAAUAAACUUAAUCAAGGAGGUUAAAGACCUGUACUCUGAAAUCUAUAAAAUAUUGAUGAAGGAAAUUGAAGAUAAUUCAAAGAAAUGGAAAGUUAUCUCAUGCUCUUGGAUUGGAAGUAUUAAUGUUAUUAAAAUGGCCAUACUAUCCAAAGCAAUCUAUAUACAUAAUGUAAUCCCUAUCAGACUACCCAGAACAUUUUUCUGGAACUAGAACAAAUAAUCCUAUAAUUUAUAUGAAAACAGAAAAGAUCCUAAAUUGCCAAAGCAAUCCUGAGACAAACUGGAAGAGAACAAAGCUGGAAGUAUAACCCUCCCAGACUUUAGACCAUACAGCAAAGUACAGUUAUAAAAACAGCAUGGUAUUGGCACAAACACAAAUGCAUAGAUCAAUGGAAAAGAACAGAGAGCCCAGAAAUAAACCCACACACCUACAGUCAAUCUACAACAAAGGAAACAAGAAUAUACAAUGGAGAAAAGAGAAUCUCUUCAGCAAGUGAUGUUGGGAAAGCUGAACAGCCACAUGUAAAACAAUGAGGUUGGAACAUUAUCUCAUACCAUAUAAAAAAAUAAGCUCAAAAUGGUUUAAAGUCCUACAUCUAAAACCUAAAGCCUUAAAACUAGAAAAUAAGCAGAACACUCUUUAACAUCAUAGCAAUAUUUUCUUGGAUCAGUUUUCAAAGGCAAAAGAAAUAAACAAAUAGCACCUAAUUAGACUCAAACAGCCUUUCCUUGCACAGCCAAGGAAACCAUCAAAACAAAAAGACAGCCCGUGAAAUGCGAAAAACAUUGGCAAAUGAUGCAACUGACAAGGGGUUAAUAUCCAAAAUAUAUAUACAGUUCAUAUAACUCAAUAAUUUAAAAAUUAUUUGGAAAAAUAGAUAUUUUACAGAUGGCUAACAGGGAUAUGAAAAGAUGCUCAACAUCACUAAUUAUUAGAGAAAUGCAAAUCAAAACCAACAAUGAGGUGUCACCUCACACCUGUCAGAAUGGCUGACAUCAAAAAGUCUACAAAUUACAAGUUGGAGAGGAUGUGGAAAAAAGGGAACCCUCUUAUACUGUUGGUGGGAAUGUAAACUGAUACAACUGUUAUGGAGAAUGGUAUGGAGGUUCCUUAAAAGACUGAAAAUAGAACUACCAUAUGAUCUAGCAGUUCCACUCCUGGGUGUAUAUUUGGAAAGAACAAAAACACUAAUUCGAAAAGACAUAGACACCCUAAUGUUCACAGAAGCACUAUUUAUAAUAGCCAAGAUAUGGAAGCAACCAAAGUGCCCAUCAACAGUUGACUCAAUUAAGAAGAUAUGACACAAACAUGUGCACACACAGAGGAAUAUUACUCAGCCAUAAAAAAGAAACUCUAUGUUCAGCAACGUGGAUAUACCUAGAGACUAUUAUGCUUCUUGAAAUAAACACAAAUACUAUGUAUCACUUCUAUGUGGAAUUAAAAAAAAUACUCAUGAAUAUAUAUACAAAACAGAAAUAGGAUUACAGAUAUAGAAAACAAAUGUGUGGUUACCAAAGGAGGAGGGAAGUAGGAAUAAAUGAUUGAUAGGUAUGGGAUUAACAUUCAGACAACUGUAUACAUAAUAGAUGAGUGACAAGGAUAUACUGCAGAGCACAAGGAACUGUACACAUUAUCUUGUAAUAACUAUAAUGGAAUAUAAUCUGCAAAAAUAUUGAAUCAUUGUGCUGUAUGCCUGAAACUAACACAGUAAUAUAUCAGCCAUAAUUCCAUUAAAAAUUCAUUGCCAUAAAAUGCUAUUUUGUAUACCCAGAGGUGAUUUUUGGAAACGUCAAAAAAGAAGAAUAAAUACCUGUAGCAAAACAGGACUCUGAAACAGUUCUGUUUCUUAACUGUUCACACCAGAGUGUUCUGAUGAUUCCUGGUAUCUGAAAUACAUGACUUUUGGGUUAAUCAACAUUAUCAGAGAUGCAGUAUGGAAACAUAGGUAAUUCAAUCACAAAGACUUUAUCAAUGAUUUGCCUAAGUAGCUGUAAUUUACAGAAUGUAUGCAUACAUUCUUCUUUUACUUUCUCCAAGCUCUGUCUCAGAAAGUAUUUAACUUAUGUAAUCUCUUCUACCUGAAUAAAUGUCAUCCCUGAAUUAUACUUUGAUAAGAA
rnacentral:lncRNA from 1 species